rnacentral:rRNA from 1 species
UACGUAGGGUGCGAGCGUUAAUCGGAAUUACUGGGCGUAAAGCGUGCGCAGGCGGUUUUGUAAGCCCAGGUGUGAAAUCCCCGGGCUCAACCUGGGAAUGGCAUUUGGGACUGCAAGGCUGGAGUGCGGCAGAGGAGACUGGAAUUCCUGGUGUAGCAGUGAAAUGCGUAGAUAUCAGGAGGAAUACCGAUGGCGAAGGCAGGUCUCUGGGCUGACACUGACGCUCAUGCACGAAAGCGUGGGAGC